UACGUAGGGGGCAAGCGUUGUCCGGAAUCAUUGGGCGUAAAGCGCGCGUAGGUGGCUUCAUAAGUCCGUUGUGAAAGUCAAAGGCUCAACCUUUGAAAGCCGAUGGAUACUGUGGAGCUAGAGUACGGAAGAGGCGAGUGGAAUUCCUGGUGUAGCGGUGGAAUGCGCAGAUAUCAGGAGGAACACCGGUGGCGAAGGCGGGUCUCUGGGCAGUAACUGACGCUGAGGAGCGAAAGCGUGGGGAGCGAACAGG
rnacentral:rRNA from 1 species